CGCAAGCCUGACGGAGCAAGACCGCGUGCGGGAUGACGGCCUAAUGGUUGUAAACCGCUUUUCUCUGGGAAGAUGAUGACGGUACCAGAGGAAUCAGCCUCGGCUAACUCCGUGCCAGCAGCCGCGGUAAUACGGAGGAGGCAAGCGUUAUCCGGAAUUAUUGGGCGUAAAGCGUCCGUAGGUGGUUAUUCAAGUCUGCUGUCAAAGCGUGGGGCUUAACUCCAUAGAGGCAGUGGAAACUGGAUGAUUGAGUGCGGUAGGGGUUGAGGGAAUUCCCAGUGUAGCGGUGAAAUGCGUAGAUAUUGGGAAGAACACCAGUGGCGAAGGCGCUCUACUGGGCCGCGACUGACGCUGAGGGACGAAAGCUAGGGGAGCG
rnacentral:rRNA from 1 species